UACAGAGGUCUCAAGCGUUGUUCGGAUUCAUUGGGCGUAAAGGGUGCGUAGGUGGCGCCGUAAGUCAGGUGUGAAAUCUCGGGGCUCAACCCCGAAACUGCACUUGAUACUACGGUGCUCGAGUACUGGAGAGGAGAUUGGAAUUUACGGUGUAGCAGUGAAAUGCGUAGAUAUCGUAAGGAAGACCAGUGGCGAAGGCGAAUCUCUGGACAGUUACUGACACUGAGGCACGAAGGCCAGGGGAGCAAACGGG
rnacentral:rRNA from 1 species